rfam:Ictidomys tridecemlineatus contig102897, whole genome shotgun sequence.
GGGGAUGUAGUUCAGUUAGUAGAGUGCUUGUCUCAAAGGCAAAAGGCCCUGGGUUCAAUCCCCAGCAUCACCA